CUUCAGUUUUAUUGUGUUUUUAUUUGUUAUACUCGUGUGCCUUUGUAGCUACACUGUAUGAAGAACGCAACGCAAACCAAGAGGACAUGGGUGUCUCCUGAAAUAAUCGCGCAUGAACAUUGUUGAUAGUUCCCAAACAAACUUCACCUUGGGAAAAUAUUGGGCUAUACUUUCUCUCUAGAAGGAUAAAUCUUCUCGAAGGCACAAGGAACUUCAACGGCCCAGCUGAUUUCCUCCUAUCCUUCACCACCGGCGGCAUCAGAAGGUCUUCAUCAUCAGUUUCCGAA